rnacentral:lncRNA from 1 species
AUUCUUCCUUCAUGAAUAGAUCAAUGCUAUUAUCGUAGAAGUGGGUUUGUUAUUGCAGAAGUAGGUUCCUUUCAAAAGGAUGAGUUCAGCCCCCUUUUGCCUCUUUCUCUCCCUCAUUCUCUUUUUGCCCUUCUUUCAUGGGAUGAUGCAGCAAGAAGGCCCUUGCCAGAUGCCAGCACCUUGAUAUUGAACUUCUCAUUCUCCAGAAUGGUGAUGGCCACAGUGGCAGAACCUAGGAAGCCAAGAAGAAACCAGAGAACGGAGACACAUGGCAGCAAUGGCAAGUCAUCAGACCCAGGAUUUCCCAAAGAACACUGGUCCAGGAAGAUGCUCUGUGAAAAAGUGUUCCCCAGUCAGAGAAAUUUGUGAAACACUUUGCAUAAUACUUAAAAUAAUGUAUGGCACAUCAAAGGUAAUAUGCAAUAAGGGAAUUCAUUUUUUAAAACCAA